CAACUUCCACAGUGAGAACAGCCCAGACUAGCCUGCUGGAUAAUUCCUGACAAGGGGAGGAGUCAUCACCCGAGGCUACCAGAUACAGGGGCAGGCAAUCCUAGAAAUCCAGCUCCGGCCCAGCCACCCACUGACCCGGAUGGUGAACAACACCACCCAGUACCAGCCAACCUCAGCCCUAAGCAAAAUACAGGGGCAACAGUGACAGUGGUGGCCCUGAACUGCUAAGUCGGGGGCACGGUGUCCCACUCACCA